GAUAGCUUAGUUGGUUAGAGCGUGGUGCUGAUUAUGGCAAGGUUGCAGGGUCAAUCCCUGAAUGGGACA